UAGUGGCUUUGUCCUCCGCUUUUCUCUUCCUCCGCUGACGUCUCUUAGCUCUCGUCAGCCUCCUGCCGGCAGUCUCCUUAACACCGAACACCAUGCCUUCAAUUAAGUUGCAGAGUUCUGAUGGAGAAAUAUUUGAAGUUGAUGUGGAAAUUGCCAAACAAUCUGUGACUAUUAAAACCAUGUUGGAAGAUUUGGGAAUGGAUGAUGAAGGAGAUGAUGACCCAGUUCCUCUACCAAAUGUGAAUGCAGCAAUAUUAAAAAAGGUCAUUCAGUGGUGCACCCACCACAAGGAUGACCCUCCUCCUCCUGAAGAUGAUGAGAACAAAGAAAAGUGAACAGACGAUAUCCCUGUUUGGGACCAAGAAUUCCUGAAAGUUGACCAAGGAACACUUUUUGAACUCAUUCUGGCUGCAAACUACUUAAACAUCAAAGGUUUGCUUGAUGUUACAUGCAAGACUGUUGCCAAUAUGAUCAAGGGGAAGACUCCUGAGGAGAUUCGCAAGACCUUCAAUAUAAAAAAUGACUUUACUGAAGAGGAGGAAGCCCAGGUACGCAAAGAGAACCAGUGGUGUGAAGAGAAGUGAAAUGUUGUGCCUGACACUGUAACACUGUAAGGACUGUUCCAAAUACUAGUUUCACUGCUCUUUUUAUAAUUGUUAAUAUUAGACAAACAGUAGACAAAUGCAGCAGCAAGUCAAUUGUAUUAGCAGAAUAUUGUCCUCAUUGCAUGUGUAGUUUGAGUAUAGAUUCCAAACCUAUGGCUGAGUUUCUUCUAGUAUGAUCGAAAGUUUCUUUUUUCUUUGCUCUGAAUAAAACUGAACUGUGGGUUCUCUAUAAGUGGCAUUUUGGGCUUUCCCUCUUUUUUGUAAAGCAAUUUCUGCCUAGUUUAUUGUCCAGUUAACUUUAGUGACCUUUUGAAAGUUGGCAUUGUAAAUAAAACAAGUUGCAAAAAAGUUUUUUGGAAUAGAA